rnacentral:rRNA from 1 species
AUUGAACGCUGGCGGCGUGCUUAACACAUGCAAGUCGAUCGGUAACAGGUGUAGCAAUACAUGCUGACGAGAGGCGGACGGGUGAGUAAUGCUUGGGAAUCUGCCUAUUAGUGGGGGACAACCCGGGGAAACUCGGGCUAAUACCGCAUACGCUCUACGGAGGAAAGCCGGGGACCGCAAGGCCUGGCGCUAAUAGAUGAGCCCAAGUCGGAUUAGCUAGUUGGUAGGGUAACGGCCUACCAAGGCGACAAUCCGUAGCUGGUCUGAGAGGACGACCAGCCACACCGGAACUGAGACACGGUCCGGACUCCUACGGGAGGCAGCAGUGGGGAAUAUUGGACAAUGGGGGCAACCCUGAUCCAGCGACGCCGCGUGGGUGAAGAAGGCCUGCGGGUUGUAAAGCCCUUUCGGUGGGGAAGAAAGUCUCGACCUAAUACGUCGGGACCUUGACGUAACCCACUAAAGAAGCACCGGCUAACUCUGUGCCAGCCGCCGCAGUAA